rnacentral:rRNA from 1 species
GAGUGAAGAGGGACAAGCUCAAAUUUUAAAUCUUGUCGGGUUCUACCUGCACCGAGUUGUAAUUUGAAGAGGCGUUUUCUGUGUUUCUGAUCAGUUCAAGUCCUUUGGGAUAAGGCAUCACGGAGGGUGAGAAUCCCGUUCGGUUGAUCAGAUUCGCUUUACGAUACGCUUUCAAAGAGUCAAGUUGUUUGGGAUUGCAGCUUAAAAUGGGAGGUAAAUUUCUCCUAAGGCUAAAUAACGGCGAGAGACCGAUAGCGAACAAGUACCGUGAGGGAAAGAUGAAAAGAACUUUGAAAAGAGAGUUAAAUAGUACGUGAAAUUGUUGAAAGGGAAACGAUUGAAGCCAGUCGUACCUUCGGGUAAUCAGCCUUUCGGGUGCGAUUCUGUGGAGUGUGAGGAGCUUAACACCUUCAUGCUUUGCAUAUUUGUGCUCUUGGGUGUACUUGCCCGUGUGGUUGGUUAACAUCAAUUUUGGUUAUCAUAAAAUGAUUGGAGGAAUGUAGCUUCGAUCUCGUAUUGAAGUGUUAUAGCCUUCGGUAGAUGUGAUGAUCGAGAUUGAGGAUUGCAACGGAUACCCUUCGGGGCUACCUGUCUGGUCUCUGAUCGUUGCUCUGGUGCCGAAAGCUUGCUUACGGUUAUCAAAGUCGAUGGUCAAUAGGUUAGAACGGGUUAAAUUCGUUA